rnacentral:miRNA from 1 species
UUUGCGACCGUAUCCAGGCCA